CAGAACCAAGAGAUCCGUUGUUGAAAGUUUUAACUAUUAUAUAGUACUCAGACAUCACUAACAUUCAGAGUUUGGUCCUCCGGCAGGCACAUGCAGGCAGAGCCCACAGUGGGAGACCACGGCCUGCCAAAGCAACAAGAGUAUGUAGACACGGAUGGGGUAUACCCGAGGGUAUCCUUUUAUUAAUGAUCCUU
rnacentral:misc_RNA from 1 species